rnacentral:rRNA from 1 species
AUUGAACGCUGGCGGCAUGCUUUACACAUGCAAGUCGAACGGUAACAGGGUGCUUGCACCGCUGACGAGUGGCGAACGGGUGAGUAAUGCGUCGGAACGUGCCGAGUAGUGGGGGAUAACGCAGCGAAAGUUGUGCUAAUACCGCAUACGUACUGAGGUAGAAGGUGGGGGACCUUCGGGCCUCACGCUAUUCGAGCGGCCGACGUCUGAUUAGCUAGUAGGUGAGGUAAAGGCUCACCUAGGCGACGAUCAGUAGCGGGUCUGAGAGGAUGAUCCGCCACACUGGGACUGAGACACGGCCCAGACUCCUACGGGAGGCAGCAGUGGGGAAUUUUGGACAAUGGGCGAAAGCCUGAUCCAGCCAUGCCGCGUGUCUGAAGAAGGCCUUCGGGUUGUAAAGGACUUUUGUCAGGGAGGAAAUCCCUAGCGUUAAUACCGCUGGGGGAUGACAGUACCUGAAGAAUAAGCACCGGCUAACUACGUGCCAGCCGCCGCGGUAAAAC